CCCUGAUUAGCUGAGUUGGUAGAGCGCUCCACCUGUAAUGGAGAGGUCCCGGGUUCGAUACCCGGACCAGGCG
rnacentral:tRNA from 1 species